AUGCCUUGGGGGUCGACUCAUGGGUCGACUCAUAGGGUGUGCCAAGUCUGUGCCAGCCAAAAAAUCGCAUGCCAAACAGCUCAUUGUGCCAUGAGUCGACUCAUGGGUCGACUCAUGUUUUUCAAACAUGAAUAUCUUUCAAAAUACAAGUCCAAAAAUAAUAAAAUUUUUACCAAUGGAUCACAAAUCUUUUGUUCUAUCACUUGAUGCUUUCAAAUCAGGGUUUGGUAAAAUUAUGAUUUUGCCCCUGAAAAGCAAUAAGUCUUUUUCAAGCGAAAAUCAUUAGUCCCCCUUCAAAUACUUUGUAAUC
rnacentral:lncRNA from 1 species